CAGCAGAUCUUCCGAUGCAUUGUUAACAGUGUUGAAGAACAGAAACUCUUGAACACAAUGCCUCGGCAUCUGUAAAGGCGCGUUGGCUUUCGGAUGUGACUUCGGUGGGAUAAACGAUUGUCAGGAUCCCGAAAACAGAGAUGUAGUCUGUAGUCUGGUCUGUCGGCAGACUCUGAGGUCUCACUAUGCUGCUUUAUCUGCUGCUGACCAUCUCACUAACAAACGUCCAUGGCCAGAUAGACCCAGCUCACUGUCGUUAUCCUCUCGGUAUGGAGGACGGGAGGAUCAAAAACGAUGACAUCACUGCCUCCAGCCAGUGGUACGAAACCACAGGCCCUCAGUAUG